GAUUAAGUUAUUAAGGGCGCACGGUGGAUGCCUUGGCACUAGAAGCCGAUGAAGGACGUUACUAACGACGAUAUGCUUUGGGGAGCUGUAAGUAAGCUUUGAUCCAGAGAUUUCCGAAUGGGGAAACCCAGCAUGAGUUAUGUCAUGUUAUCGAUAUGUGAAUACAUAGCAUAUCAGAAGGCACACCCGGAGAACUGAAACAUCUUAGUACCCGGAGGAAGAGAAAGAAAAUUCGAUUCCCUUAGUAGCGGCGAGCGAAACGGGAAGAGCCCAAACCAACAAGCUUGCUUGUUGGGGUUGUAGGACACUCUAUACGGAGUUACAAAGGACGACAUUAGACGAAUCAUCUGGAAAGAUGAAUCAAAGAAGGUAAUAAUCCUGUAGUCGAAAAUGUUGUCUCUCUUGAGUGGAUCCUGAGUACGACGGAGCACGUGAAAUUCCGUCGGAAUCUGGGAGGACCAUCUCCUAAGGCUAAAUACUCUCUAGUGACCGAUAGUGAACCAGUACCGUGAGGGAAAGGUGAAAAGCACCCCGGAAGGGGAGUGAAAUAGAACCUGAAACCGUGUGCUUACAAGUAGUCAGAGCCCGUUAAUGGGUGAUGGCGUGCCUUUUGUAGAAUGAACCGGCGAGUUACGAUUUGAUGCAAGGUUAAGCAGUAAAUGUGGAGCCGUAGCGAAAGCGAGUCUGAAUAGGGCGUUUAGUAUUUGGUCGUAGACCCGAAACCAGGUGAUCUACCCUUGGUCAGGUUGAAGUUCAGGUAACACUGAAUGGAGGACCGAACCGACUUACGUUGAAAAGUGAGCGGAUGAACUGAGGGUAGCGGAGAAAUUCCAAUCGAACCUGGAGAUAGCUGGUUCUCUCCGAAAUAGCUUUAGGGCUAGCCUCAAGUGAUGAUUAUUGGAGGUAGAGCACUGUUUGGACGAGGGGCCCCUCUCGGGUUACCGAAUUCAGACAAACUCCGAAUGCCAAUUAAUUUAACUUGGGAGUCAGAACAUGGGUGAUAAGGUCCGUGUUCGAAAGGGAAACAGCCCAGACCACCAGCUAAGGUCCCAAAAUAUAUGUUAAGUGGAAAAGGAUGUGGCGUUGCCCAGACAACUAGGAUGUUGGCUUAGAAGCAGCCAUCAUUUAAAGAGUGCGUAAUAGCUCACUAGUCGAGUGACACUGCGCCGAAAAUGUACCGGGGCUAAACAUAUUACCGAAGCUGUGGAUUGUCCUUUGGACAAUGGUAGGAGAGCGUUCUAAGGGCGUUGAAGCAUGAUCGUAAGGACAUGUGGAGCGCUUAGAAGUGAGAAUGCCGGUGUGAGUAGCGAAAGACGGGUGAGAAUCCCGUCCACCGAUUGACUAAGGUUUCCAGAGGAAGGCUCGUCCGCUCUGGGUUAGUCGGGUCCUAA
rnacentral:rRNA from 1 species